UACAGAGGUCUCAAGCGUUGUUCGGAUUCAUUGGGCGUAAAGUGUGCGCAGGCGGCCGCGCAAGUCGAGUGUGAAAUCCCCGAGCUUAACUUGGGAAUUGCGCUCGAAACUACGUGGCUGGAGUGUGGCAGAGGAAGGUGGAAUUCCACGUGUAGCGGUGAAAUGCGUAGAGAUGUGGAGGAACACCGAUGGCGAAGGCGGCUCACUGGACCGGUACUGACGCUGAUGCGCGAAAGCGUGGGGAGCAAACGGG
rnacentral:rRNA from 1 species